AUGAGGGUUCAGCAUCACAUAUACUAAAAUUGAAAUAUACAGAAAGAUUAGCGUGGCUCCUAAGCAAGGAUGACAUGCAAAUUUGUGAAGCAUUUUAUAUUGUU
ensembl:snRNA U6 U6 spliceosomal RNA